ensembl:lncRNA novel transcript
CUGGUGCUUCCUGGGGUCACCUCCCCAAUAAACACCUGCACUCACUCUCUCAUCUCGGUGUCUGCUUCUGGGGCAGCCUAGACGGACACAGAGAGCUUGUGGAUGGUGGAUGAACAAGGCCUGUCUGAGGGAGCAAGGUAUCAGGGAACCUGAGCCUGAGGGAGGUGCGGGAGCUGGAGCAUGGGUCUGGAGGAGGAAAAAGCACUCUUGGAGUAGAGAAAAUAAGGGAGGCAGAGGGGAUUUAACCAAUGAGAAACCCAAGAAAAGAACCUCCAGGGCAAGAAGUCCAAUAGGGCUGAUUUCUUUUCUUUGCACUCUUUAAACAAUCAUUAUCAUAGUAAAAUAUGCGCAUAGUUAAAAAAAAAAAAAAAACCAAACUGCCUAGAAUAGUGGUCUAGUGAAGGCACAGCUCCUCGCGCUACCUCUCGCCUCCAGCUCCUGCCUGCUCCCUGAAGGUAAAACCUCCUUUGAGCAGUUUUAGGCUUUGGCUCUGGAGGUUGCCCCCAUGCCUCUGAAUGACAGCUGCUGUGGUUAUUUGGAGUUUAUCAGCCUCAGAUAUUGUCUGUUGACCUGCUGCGAUGAAGGAUGGAGUAGUAGACGGAAUUAUAAAAUGGCCCAGAGUCUGGCCCCUGGUGCACAGCUACCUCCCCGCUCCCGUGCACUUCUCAAACACGGUUCUGGGUGCAGCUGAUAACAGCCCAGAUCACUGGACUUUAAGAUAGGGAGUGGGCCUGAGUGGGCCUGACCUAAUCACAGGAGUGCUUUACACCUGCGGCUGGAGGGCAGCCAUGGAGAAGGUCAAAGAUUCAAAGCACAAGGGGGAUCUGAAGUGUGAGAGGUGCCCUGUUGCUGGCUUGAAGAUAGAGGGGCCACAUGGCAAGGAGCUGUGGGUGGCCUCUGGGGACUGAGGGUGGCCCCCAGCUGACAACCACCAAGGAAACAAGGACUGAGGUCCUACAGCCCCAAGGAACCGAAUUCUGACUCAGCCAUGUGACCAUGGAAGAGGACUCCAUGCUUCAGACCACAGAGCAGCUUCAAUUUCUGCCUUGUGAGGCCCUAAGCACAGAACCCAGCCAUACUAUACCUAGUCUUCUGAUGAUUUUUGUUGUUGUUGUUGAGACAGGGUCUUGCUCUGUUGCUAAGGCUGGAGUACAGUGGCGUAAUCAUAGCUCACUGCAGCUUUGAAUUCCCAGGCUCAAGUAAUUCUCCUGCCUCAGCCUCCCGAGUGGCUGGGAUCAUAGGUGUGCGUCACCACAUCUGGCUAAAUUUUAUUUUUUUUUUUUAGAGAUGGGAUCUCACUAUGUUUCCCAGGCUGGUCUCCUGGCCUCAAACGAUCCUCCUGCCUCAGCCUCCCAAAGUGCUGAGAUUCCAGGCGUGCACCACUGCCCUGGCCUAUGGUGGUUCUUUAUGCAGAACAGGUAGCUAGCACAGUGGUGUCAGAUGGUGUAAGGAUUGAGCUGUCACACCAUUGUUCAUCACCCCGCCGUGCCUGGGCCAGCCUGGCCGUAUUGCUACUUUAACCUCCUCUGCAACUUCCAACUGUGCCUUGCCACGUCCCUUUCCAAUUCCAGCCGUGACAGGCAGUCUCUUGGCUCCCCAUGUUAUAAGUUGUGGACAUCUUCAGUGUUGCAGGCCAUAUGGUCUCUGUCAGAACAAAACUCUGCCCUUCCAGACAGCAUCCAUAGGCAGUAUGUAAACACAUGAGCAUGGCUGUGCGCCAAUAAAACUUUAUUUACAAGAAAGAAAUACGGGCCCACCCACCCUUCGGGCUCCUUCUCCACCUCUUGUCCUCUGUCCAGGGAACCAUUACUGUCACCAGAUCCAGGUUGCUACCCUUGGGAAUCUCUUGGCCUCAUCCUUAGGAUUCUAUUUCCAAUGUAUGAAAAGCAGAUUUCUGAUUAAUGUGUAGUAAUAGGAAGCGCUGGAACUAUCCAGGCUUAUCUCUCCUUGCCAGUGACUUUUAAAACGGUUGCUUCUAUCCAAUUCUGUCGGAGAGAGGCAGAGGCCCCAUGGGACAUGAAGAUGGAGACCCAGCUCCUGCUGGCCCAUAGUAUAGGAUUCCUUGUCUGGGACUGUGUGUUUGAAACAUCCUUUAUAUACAAACUCCAGCCUCCUUCAGCCCGUGCAUUGCAAGCCAGGGGUCACAGCUGGAAGCAUUUUCAUGGGAAAUUCAGAGUUGUCAAAGGCAUUUAUCUGGUAUUUUAUUGUAAUUGGUUAAUUUAUGCUUUAUUUACCUUGCGGAUAGGAUCUGAGAGCUAAGGCUGGGUACUGCUGCCUUUUUCUGUUCCACACUGUCAGGGAAAUGUAUGUCUCCUUAGGCUUAAAAGCAUUUUUUUUUUUAAAUGAGAAAUGGAGCUUUGGAAUAAAUAUUUUUCAUUGCUCACGACACGGAGCCCCUGGGUCACCAUGGCCUGUGUUCUUUUAAGUCAUGUAAAACUAGUUUCUGCUGAGAACAUUCAAAUGUUUCACCUUGUGCUGAGGAAUUUGGAACUAAUCUUCUCAGAUCGGUGUUGCUGGAAGUCGGUCCAGGAGCUUUUUGGAUAAUCCACCUCAUGACUGGAAAACAACGAAGAAACCCAGUAGCUUCUUCGCCGUGUGGAUUCAGACCCCGGGAGCCCAGGCCUGCACCUGGGCAGCUGCUCCCUGCACGUGGCCGGACAUAUGGAAUAUGGAGCCCCGCUGCCUUGGAGUCAGAGAGCUGCCAAGUAGAAUUUGCAUGUAAUGCUGCUAUCAUUUUCAAUUGCUCUCCCAAUAAAACAGGCCCUGGAGCCGAGGUGAAUGCCGUAGAAGGCAUUUUUUCCACUGGGUGUGGGUCCAGAAUAAAUAAUCAAAAGAAAA